rnacentral:rRNA from 1 species
AGAGUUUGAUCCUGGCUCAGGAUGAACGCUGGCGGCGUGCCUAAUACAUGCAAGUCGAACGCUUCACUUCGGUGAAGAGUGGCGAACGGGUGAGUAAUACAUAAGUAACCUGGCAUCUACAGGGGGAUAACUGAUGGAAACGUCAGCUAAGACCGCAUAGGUGUAGAGAUCGCAUGAACUCUAUAUGAAAAGUGCUACGGGACUGGUAGAUGAUGGACUUAUGGCGCAUUAGCUUGUUGGUAGGGUAACGGCCUACCAAGGCGACGAUGCGUAGCCGACCUGAGAGGGUGACCGGCCACACUGGGACUGAGACACGGCCCAGACUCCUACGGGAGGCAGCAGUAGGGAAUUUUCGGCAAUGGGGGAAACCCUGACCGAGCAACGCCGCGUGAAGGAAGAAGUAAUUCGUUAUGUAAACUUCUGUCAUAGAGGAAGAACGGUGGAUAUAGGGAAUGAUAUCCAAGUGACGGUACUCUAUAAGAAAGUCACGGCUAACUACGUGCCAGCAGCCGCGGUAAUACGUAGGUGGCGAGCGUUAUCCGGAAUUAUUGGGCGUAAAGAGGGAGCAGGCGGCACUAAGGGUCUGUGGUGAAAGAUCGAAGCUUAACUUCGGUAAGCCCAUGGAAACCGUAGAGCUAGAGUGUGUGAGAGGA